rnacentral:rRNA from 1 species
UACGGGGGGAGCAAGCGUUGUUCGGAUUUACUGGGCGUAAAGGGCGCGUAGGCGGCCAGCACAAGUCAGUUGUGAAAUCUCCGAGCUUAACUCGGAAAGGUCAACUGAUACUGUGCGGCUAGAGUGCGGAAGGGGCAACUGGAAUUCUUGGUGUAGCGGUGAAAUGCGUAGAUAUCAAGAGGAACACCUGCGGCGAAGGCGGGUUGCUGGGCCGACACUGACGCUGAGGAGCGAAAGCAUGGGUAGCGAACAGG